CCAAAGGCUCUUUUCAGAGCCCCCAUCUUCUCAAAUAAAGAGCUA
rfam:Cavia porcellus supercont2_38 genomic scaffold, whole genome shotgun sequence.